UUCCCCUUCUUGGACUCUGUUUGCUCCACCCUAUUCAUGGAUUUUCCCCAGCCUGUUUUCCCCCUCGGUUUUCAGUUUCCCCAUCUCUCCUGUGACAGACUGAUGACCUGUCCCAGGUGUCUCCUGCCUUCACUCUAAGUCAGCUGGGAUAGACUCCAGCCCCCCUGCAAUCCUGAUGAGGAUUAAAUGAUGUAUAGAUAAAGGAUGGAUGGAUGUAUGUUUGUAUGUAUGUUAUAUUUCAGUAAAAUAUGUAAAAUUC